rnacentral:rRNA from 1 species
GAUGAACGCUGGCGGCGUGCCUAGUACAUGCAGGUCGAGCGAACGGACGAGAAGCUUGCUUCUCUGAUGUUAGCGGCGGACGGGUGAGUAACACGUGGAUAACCUACCUAUAAGACUGGGAUAACUUCGGGAAACCGGAGCUAAUACCGGAUAAUAUUUUGAACCGCAUGGUUCAAAAGUGAAAGACGGUCUUGCUGUCACUUAUAGAUGGAUCCGCGCUGCAUUAGCUAGUUGGUAAGGUAACGGCUUACCAAGGCAACGAUGCAUAGCCGACCUGAGAGGGUGAUCGGCCACACUGGAACUGAGACACGGUCCAGACUCCUACGGGAGGCAGCAGUAGGGAAUCUUCCGCAAUGGGCGAAAGCCUGACGGAGCAACGCCGCGUGAGUGAUGAAGGUCUUCGGAUCGUAAAACUCUGUUAUUAGGGAAGAACAUAUGUGUAAGUAACUGUGCACAUCUUGACGGUACCUAAUCAGAAAGCCACGGCUAACUACGUG